GACGAACGCUGGCGGCGUGCUUAACACAUGCAAGUCGAACGGAAAGGCCCUGCUUUUGUGGGGUGCUCGAGUAGCGAACGGGUGAGUAACAAGUGAGUAACCUGCCCUUGACUUUGGGAUAACUUCAGGAAACUGGGGCUACUUCCGGAUAGGAGCUCCUGCUGCAUGGUGGGGGUUGGAAAGUUUCGGCGGUUGGGGAUGGACGCGCGGCUUAUCAGAUUGUUGGUGGGGUAGUGGCUUACCAAGGCUUUGACGGGUAGCCGGCCUGAGAGGGUGACCGGCCACAUUGGGACUGAGAUACGGCCCGGACUCCUACGGGAGGCAGCAGUGGGGAAUAUUGCACAAUGGGCGGAAGCCUGAUGCAGCAACGCCGCGUGCGGGAUGACGGCCUUCGGGUUGUAAACCGCUUUCGCCUGUGACGAAGCGUGAGUGACGGUAAUGGGUAAAGAAGCACCGGCUAACUACGUG
rnacentral:rRNA from 1 species